CCAGCAUGUGCAGGCGUGGAGGCUGCGAGGUGCACACCUGAUUCCUCCUCUCCUGGAAACACAGGUUGUUCGCUCAUGCUGACCGAGCCAGCUGCUGUGUUACGAGCUGUCCUGUGGAAAGGCCCAUGUGGCCAGGGUGGUCUCUGGUGGACAGCCAGUGAGGAACAGAACCCCGCCAGCCACCACCUGAGUGAGUGUGGAAACAAAAGCUUUCUUACUGAAGCCUGAACCAGCCCUGGCCAAUCCCUUGAUCCCAGGCUGUGGGACCCAGCCUGAGCCACACCCAAAUUCCCGACCUGCAGACCCCGCUGAGAUGUCUCCUGGAAGAGAGACAGCGAUGCC